rnacentral:lncRNA from 1 species
CUCACUUUUCACAUCUGUUCAAGAAGAGACAGGACUACAUAAUUCCUAAUGUGCUUUCCAGCUUGAAAAUCACAUGAAACUGAGCCAGGAAAUAUUCAGCUUGGAAAACUUUAUGUUUUGAAUGUUAAAGUCAAGGCGUUUGGUGUUACUGUUGUCCCCAAUGAACAUAAAUGCAUUUUCAAGAGAAUGAGAAGAAAUUUAAGCUGAGAGGAUUAAAAGUUUAGGCUUUCUUCAAGUUUCAUCCAACGAUUCCUUGAAGACAAGAACAGAAGCAUAUGAGAAAGAGUGACAAAAGAAGCCACAGUCCAACAUGCAUGGAAGAUGAGAGCUACAAAGGUGUCAGUAUAUCUCUACAGGACUAGUGCCCCUCGAGGCUGAUUGUCGGAAAUCUGUUAUGGCACCUGCUACAAGAACACAGGAAAAAAAAGACUUCCUGAAUGAAUAAAUGAAUCAAAAAUCUUCUAUUUUCCUCUACAGCACUUCUGUCUUUCAGCUACUCACAGAGGUCCAGGAAUCAUCAUUAAUAAUCAUUAAUCAUCAUUAAUACAUAUAAGGCUGUAUAAAGUGUCCAAGGAAUCGUUAUCUUUUAAAAACUGGAAGCUGCUCUGCUCCAUCCAAUCUGAGGGGAAAUGAUCUGGUGAGAGGCAUGGGCGAUACUGAGAAAGAACU